rnacentral:rRNA from 1 species
CCUACGGGUGGCAGCAGUGAGGAAUAUUGGUCAAUGGGCGGAAGCCUGAACCAGCCAAGUCGCGUGAGGGAAGACUGCCCUAUGGAUUGUAAACUUCUUUUGUCGGGGAGUAAAAGACGCUACGUGUGCCGUUUUGCGUGUACCCGAAGAAUAAGCAUCGGCUAACUCCGUGCCAGCAGCCGCGGUAAUACGGAGGGUGCAAGCGUUACCCGGAUUUACUGGGCGUAAAGAGUGCGCAGGCGGGUUUGUAAGUCAGAUGUGAAAGGCUGUGGCUUAACUACAAAAUUGCAGUUGAUACUGGGAGUCUAGAGUGUGGGAGAGGUAGGUGGAAUUCGUGGUGUAGGGGUGAAAUGCGUAGAUAUCAAGAGGAAUUCUCAUUGCGAAGGCGGCCUACUGGAACGUUACUGACGCUCAUGCACGAAAGCGUGGGGAGCAAACAGGAUUAGAUACCCGGGUAGUC